rnacentral:rRNA from 1 species
GAUGAACGCUGGCGGCGUGCCUAAUACAUGCAAGUCGAGCGAACAGACGAGGAGCUUGCUCCUUUGACGUUAGCGGCGGACGGGUGAGUAACACGUAGGUAACCUACCUAUAAGACUGGGAUAACUUCGGGAAACCGGAGCUAAUACCGGAUAAUAUUUCGAACCGCAUGGUUCGAUAGUGAAAGAUGGCUUUGCUAUCACUUAUAGAUGGACCUGCGCCGUAUUAGCUAGUUGGUAAGGUAACGGCUUAUCAAGGCAACGAUACGUAGCCGACCUGAGAGGGGGAUCGGCCACACUGGAACUGAGACACGGUCCAGACUCCUACGGGAGGCAGCAGUAGGGAACCUUCCGCAGUGGGCGAAAGCCUGACGGAGCAACGCCGCGUGAGUGAUGAAGGUCUUCUGAGCGUAAAACUCUGUUAUGAGGGAAGAACAAACGUGUAAGUAACUGUGCACGGCUUGACGGUACCUAAUCAGAAAGCCACGGCUAACUACGUG